AAUGCAAGCAAACGCAGAUUCAGAAGCGUCAGUUAACCAGGGAGAUGAUCGUGUGCCUGUGAGUAGCGAGAACUCUGUGGUUUCCUCGCUCUCUCUCCAGGUUAGCGCCGGUGCGAAGUUGGAGAGGCAGAGGAAGGAGGUGAACCGAAUGUUGCUGCUCAUGAGUUGCGAAUGAAGAUCCAGAAGAGGGGUACGGCCAGCACGACCCCGUUGGAACAGAAUCAACGGCCCAAUCCGUCCUCGUCCGUCUGAUCCACGUCGCAGCUAACUGACGGACUUAUCUGAUCUGUGGGCCACAUGCUAUUUCGGGAAAUAAGAACGAGGAGCACAUACCCGUUGCUAUACAGUCUGCGGCACAGAUCGCGAGAUGAAUAAAUGGUACCGAUUCCGAGCUCCUGUGAGCUCGGGCUCACAUAGGCAUUUUCGGUUAUUUAUGCUCUUAUUUGUCCCUUUUUCUCGUGUUCCGUGGUAUGAACGUUUUACCAAUUGCUCCGUUUAAAAUGAUAUGAGAGCAUCUAUUUUCUUGGAGUGGUUAUUUAUCAGGUGCCCUGAAAAUAUUUAUUUUAUUAGUCAGUAUUUAUGGCCGCUGGAUGAGCCUUGGAAAUC